GCCUUUGUGGUGUAACGGUAGCACACUAGGCGCGUAUGAGAGAUCCAGGUUCGAAUCCCGGCGAGAGCG
rnacentral:tRNA from 1 species